CUUUUUCUGUUUAAUUUCUACUUCACUGUUCUAUUUUAAUACCAUGAAUUAUAAAUCCAUGCAAUAUGCAAUCCAGUUUACUAGCUUACCUCGUGAAGAACCUAGUUUGAGACUUGCAUACAAAGUGAAGUAUUACUGAAAGAAUUCCAUGAACCAAAUUCACCUCCCUCUGUCUCUUGCAGGUGUCCUGGACUCCAGCUGUGUUCAGCCUUCAUCAGAGGAGACACCAUUUAUGUUUCUUCUCCUCAGAGGCCACGACGUCUUACUCUUCUUCAAGACUGGAGUGUAGUAGUGCCAUCUCGCGUCACUGCAACCUCUGCCUCCUGGGUUCAAGUGAUUCUCCUGCCUCAGCCUCCCGAGUACCUGGGACUACAGGCACAUGCAACCACACUGGCUAAUUUUUGUAUUUUUAGUAGAGACAGUAUUUCACCAUGUUGGUCAGGCUGGUCUUUAACUUCUCACCUCAAGUGAUCCACCUGCCUCAGCCUCUCAAAGUGCUGGGAUUACAGGCAUGCACCACAGAGCCUGGCUGUUUGCUCCUUUUCUUUAUUGAUAUUUUUGUCACCUGAUUAAGUUGGAUGAGUUCUUCAUACUCUUUGGAUAUAAGUGCUUCUCAGAUAUACAUAUAGUGAGUAUUUUCAUUCAGUUGGCA
rnacentral:lncRNA from 1 species